rnacentral:lncRNA from 1 species
AGAACUACAGGACUUGAUAAUUUGAAAGCCAUGUCAUAAGUUACAGUACCUAUUAAACAGUUAUUGUACAUGAAUUGAAUGGGCUAAAUAACCCCAACAAUUUCUCAUUCAUUUUGUAGAGUAGACCCUUUGAAUGUAAAGUUACUAAAAAGAAGAAAUAAAAUAAGUGUGAGUUUGACACGACAGUAAGGUUAUUGCUUAGUGAUCAUGACUCCAUGAGGGCACAAGUCAAAUCUUGAAAACAGUCUUUCUGCUUGCGAGGGUAAGACUGCGUACAUCUACCAUUCCUAGACUCCACUAAAUGAGAGUCUCGUGCACUGAACUGCCCUUUUUUAUCUGAUCAACAUAACUCAGUAUCAUGUUGUUUCUGGCGGACAAAUCAUGCACCAUUGGAAAAGACCUGGUCAUAACUUCCUCUAGCUUAUAACAAAAUCUAUAGCUAUAUAUUAUCAUACACAUUGGCUUCCCUGAGAAAACAACAGUCUCAUACCUGCUCUGAAGCAGAAGGGGGAGCUUCAGUAAUCAGUGUCUUCAUCUUUCGUGAUUAUAUUUGGACCAUCAUCAAAACCAGAGGUAGGGGCAAGUUCAUUUAGAUCAAGGAAACGUCUCUUUCCCAUACCUUCAACUCCCCCCGGAACAGGAAUACUUGGUUUUUCAGGAUUUUGAUCUUGUUCAUUAUCUUCUACUCAGGAUAAGUAGUAGCAGGCUCAUCCUCUACUUUCAUUUCUUGAUCUUCAAAAUCAUUGUCAUCAGAAUCUUCACUUUCCAUCAUAUAUUCACCAUUCUGACUGGCAUCUGAUUGAUCAGCUGACACAUUGGACGUAUCUGGUUUAAUAAAUUCUGUUUCGGAUUCUGACACCUCAUAUUGCUGAUAGUUUAUACGGUUUCUCGUUGACCUAUUACUGCGUCUUAUACCUGACUGCAUCUCGUCCACUGACCUACGUCUAGUUUCCCUCCUAGUACGCCCUUGCAAUUGAUUACUUUUAUGAGGUUUGUCACUAUCCUCACUGAUGCUUGAGGAACCUUCAUCUUCAUCAUCAUCAUCAUCAUCAUCAUCAUCAUCGUAGUCUUCUUCUUCUUCCUCUUCGAUGUUAUCUACAUCCCACUGAUAUUCUUCAUCUCCUUCAGAGCCACUAGAAAGCUUCCUUCUCUGCUUAUGCUUCUCAAUAUAUUCUUCAUCAUAUACUGCUUCUCCAACAAUAUCAUCAUCACUGUCAAAGUCUGCCUCGUCUAAUACUUCUUCAAUGAAUUCUUUCUCUGAAUACCGUGUAGGUCUCUUUCUUAGACGAUUGCUAAUGUUAAAAUGAAAUGAUUUGUGAAAAUUAGAUAGAGGGAAUCGGAACGGGUUUAAAAGAAACUAAAACUACACGCCUUCGAUCCAACACAUCAGUUUGAUGCUCUUCCUCAUCAUAAUCAGAGUCAGACAAUUUUGGAGAUGACGUACCGAAAUUCUGAUGUUCGGGGGCAUGUGAAGGAUCACUCAAUUUACCAUUAGUCAAGGAGGCUUCAUGUUUUGCUUCUGAUUCUCUCCGGAGCCUAUGUUCAGGGGAUGCCUGUUUCUGUCUGAAAAAGAAGAGACAGAUAUAUUUACCAUCAGUACAGACUACAGAUUAUAAGUGAAGUAAGUCUAUAAUUGUUAUCGAGGAUAUCGAUUGUUCACUUGAUCUUACAGGCCAGAGGAAGAAAAAGGGAGAUAAGUUUUCAGAUGAUGAGAGUGAUAAGUUGAACUCAGAAGUCGGUUUAAGGAAAGAAAUGAAGGAAGAAGGAAGCAGUGGCAGCAAAGUGACACUUUCAGGGCUAUUGAAUUUCAUAGAUGGGAUAUGGUCUGCAUGUGGAGGGGAGAGGUUGAUUGUUUUCACAACUAACUAUGUGGAGAAGCUUGACCCAGCACUCAUCAGAAGGGGUAGAAUGGACAAGCAUGUUGAGCUUUCUUAUUGUACUUUUGAAGGGUUUAAAGUGCUUGCUAAUAAUUACUUGAAGGUUGAGACUCAUUCAAUGUUUGACACAAUUAAGAGGCUAAUAAGUGAGGUUAAGAUUACACCAGCUGAUGUUGCUGAAAACCUUAUGCCAAAGUCUCAUAUGGAUGAUGCAGAUAAGUGUCUUUCUAACUUGAUUGAAGCACUUGAGGCUACAAAAGAUGAGGAACUGUUGAGCCUGAAACAGAAUAGUCCCAUCAAUCAAGAUGAGAAACUCAAGCAUGGCAGUCACAUCAAGGAAAAUGGUUGUGUAAAAGAAAUUCUGGCCUGAGGGACAAACCUUAGGCACAUUUCUUGUUAUAUAGUAGUAUUAUAUAUGAUGUAUCUAUCUUUGUGAGCUCUAAGUCGAACAAAAGUAGAGAUUAGUAUACUUCAGUGCUUUGGUUUGGUUCAGAUUGUGACAGUAUCUGAAAUAUUUGUCAUCCAACCAAAUCCUCUUACUUUAGUGAAUAAUUUUGAACUGUGUUGGAGACUUAUCAAAAUUUAUAGUUAAAUGGCAUAAUUCUCCGGCCAAAACUUUCUUCUCAACAAAGUAACUUAACUGUUAAGGGGACCUGCUUUUAACCUCUUAUUCUUUUUUCCUAAAAUGUAAUUUAAACAUUGAAACAAUUACAUUUAUGGGACAAAUUGGCAUGUUCAGUCAAUAUGGUUAAUAUUAAAAGAAUAGUUCAUAAUCCGAUCAGAUUAUGAAUAGAGCCAUUCCAUGACUCAGCCGAAGUGCUCUAAUGCUGAUUGUUGAUCAGCAUUGAGUGGAAGAAUAGCAGAACUACAGGACUUGAUAAUUUGAAAGCCAUGUCAUAAGUUACAGUACCUAUUAAACAGUUAUUGUACAUGAAUUGAAUGGGCUAAAUAACCCCAACAAUUUCUCAUUCAUUUUGUAGAGUAGACCCUUUGAAUGUAAAGUUACUAAAAAGAAGAAAUAAAAUAAGUGUGAGUUUGACACGACAGUAAGGUUAUUGCUUAGUGAUCAUGACUCCAUGAGGGCACAAGUCAAAUCUUGAAAACAGUCUUUCUGCUUGCGAGGGUAAGACUGCGUACAUCUACC